GACCCCUGAAAGACGAUCAGGUUGAUAGGUUCGAGGUGGAAGCGCGGCAACGUGUGCAGCUGACGAAUACUAAUCGGUCGAGGGCUUAUCCUA
rnacentral:rRNA from 1 species